AUUGAAAUGUUGGACAAGGAGUUUGAAUUGAAAGAUAAUGGUUGAGAAAAAGUUGUGGAAGUCAAGGUUGCGAUUGAAGUUGAAACUAGAAUUGAAGAGGAAAAUGUUGAAAUUAUUGAUAUUGAUGAUAAAGUGACCCUAGACAUGCCUCUGAAAAGACAAAAGAAACUUGGAGUUCUUCUUCGGUCCCCCGGGUCAAUUAAUAUGAUUCUACAUUGUGGACUAAGAAACGUGCUGUAAAAGGUACUUUUGCAUUCCCAGUUGGUGUUGACCCUCUGAUGGCAUAUGACGUUGAUGCCUUUGAGCUUUGGUUUAACAAGGGAUUGAUUAAAAAAAUAAGUAAAUUGUUACUAAUAUUUAUUGUUUGUGAAUUUUUUCCAGUAAAGUGACAUUUCAUGUGAGUUUUUGCAGUUUGUGAUGUAGGCGCAAACUUUUUAAUGAUGAAAAUUUUAUUAUCAAUCUAUGCUUCUAUUUUAUAGAUAUUGGAAUAUCUAUAAAAUAGUGGUGGUAUGAUAUGUUUUCUCCAAAUGAAUGUUUAGAAGACACGGUAAGUUAUUUUGUUUGUUGGUGUUUUAAGAUUCUUUUGUAUAAUUUUUAUUACAAAUGUUGAUUUUGUCAUUUUUAUUUUUUUUCUUUUUUCUUUUUGUAGCAUAUCCAUGUGUGUUUUUAUUAUUUAAAAAAGACGUUAAGACAUGGAGAAGGGAUGAGCAUAUAAAGACUACAACCAUGGAUUUUCCAUUUGAUAGCCAAAUGAGAGGUCUGUAUGCCAAUUUUUGCCAAGAUAAGUCUACUAUAAAAAAAAGCAGACUUCUCUUAUUUCAUAUGUUAUUGGGUUGUCUAUGCCGUGCAACACAAAUUGGAGCCUUGUUGACCAACUUAUUCCAGUUCUAAUGUCUAAUUCAGCUCAUUGGAUUUUGUGUCAUUUCGUCAUUCAGCAUAUGUGUCUUAAUGUAUAUAGUUCGCACAACAAGAUUGUCAGGAAGGCUUUAGUACUUCAGGCUGUUAAACAAUUUUCUGAUAUAAUUCCUUAUCUUCUCCUUCAUACUGCCUUCUUUGAAGGAAAUGUCAUUUUAAAAGAAGAUGCUUUGAAACCAUUAGUUGUAAAAAUGGUUCCAAAACUUUCACAGCUGAAUAACGAGUUAGAUUAUUUGUAAAGAUGCUUUUUUUAUCAUUUGAUGUUUCAGUAUUUAAUUAUCUAAAUUACUUUUCAUUUUUGCAUGCAGUGGGGAUUGCGGAAUAUAUGUAAUUAAGUAUGUCUAGUACUUUAUUAACAGAAUGUUGAAUGAGAUGCCAAAGACAUUUAACGUUCCACAUAUUAGAAGAAAUUUGGCAGCUCAUUUAUAUGCUUAUGGAAAGAAGAAGCAAGAUGAAGAAUAUGAUACAGAUAAUGAAUGGGUACUAAAGGAGACGGAUUAGCUAUAUGUUGAUGUGAUAGAGAAGAAAGUGAUUUUGAUGAAGUGAAGACAUAUCUUGUUUUGUAAUGACUGAUUUAGUUGUUAGAAUAUUUUGUAGAUGAACAUAAGUUGGUUGGUAAUUGAAGUCUUGUAUAUAAUGACUGAUUUAGCGAAGAGCGACAAUAUUAAUGGUGGUAGUACAACUUGAAUUGUUAAUGA
rnacentral:lncRNA from 1 species